AGGAAGUGAAUCUUCACAGGGAAGGAAGCAACAAAACUCUACCUUUGGCUUUUGCUGGCCGAGCAGGGAAAGGCCUAUAGACACAGGGCAUUGCACAGGAACUAAGACAGCCCUCCUGGGAGCACUACAUAAAGCAGCCAAUAUUUUGAAAAGCAUAGGGAAGAGUGAAGUCAUCCGGGGCAUUUGCAGACACAACACUAAGAACUUGGUGACAACAGCCCUGAAGCAAAACACCAGUGUGUACUGGGCAGGGCUUGGGAGAUAAGACAGGACAUCUGAAGCUAAACAUGGAUCCCCUCUGAAAGCCACAAUCAAAGUGUCAUACACAAAAUCUUAUCUCAAGCCUUGACUAGAGAAGGACCUACUUCCGAGAUCACAUAGUUGAAUGAAUUCUGUCCUUACAGCCCGUUGAACUGAGGACCUCCCCAACAUGCUCACCUGCUUCAUCAAAGUCUGUAAGAGAGAGAGAGAGUCCACUAGCAAGAGGACACUGCAGUCUUAUCUAAUGUAAUCACUGAAGUGACAUCCUGUCACAUUGGUCACCUUUCCUAUUCUAUUCAUUAUAAAUGAGUCCCACGUGCUGCCACACUCAAGUGGAGGGGAUUACACAGGGCUGGAGUACCAGAGGUGGGGCUAAUUUGCCGUCAUCUUAGAGUUCUUCCAUCACACAGAAAUAUUCUCAGCUCACCAAAUCUGGGAUUCCACAUCUGGCUAUUCCUGAAGCUGGAGGCCUGGCAUAUUUUUGAGUGGCCAUUUGGAUCAGCUGAUAAACCCAGGGUUUGUGUACUGACUGGAGGAGUAAGAACUGUAAGGCUAAUUGAAAUGAAUCUACUUAAAAUAGUGACAUGAUUUUUCUAAAAAUUACUGGAAGGUAAGGGUUGAUUGAGACUUUAAAAUAAAACCAAAAAUUAUUCUAAA